rnacentral:rRNA from 1 species
UACGAAGGGGGCUAGCGUUGCUCGGAAUCACUGGGCGUAAAGCGCACGUAGGCGGCUUACUAAGUCAGGGGUGAAAUCCUGGAGCUCAACUCCAGAACUGCCUUUGAUACUGAAGAUCUUGAGUUCGGGAGAGGUGAGUGGAACUGCGAGUGUAGAGGUGAAAUUCGUAGAUAUUCGCAAGAACACCAGUGGCGAAGGCGGCUCGCUGGGACGUGACUGACGCUGAGACGCGAAAGCGUGGGGAGCAACAGG